rnacentral:misc_RNA from 1 species
GAAAAAUAUUCAAGCCUAUUAGCAUCUCAUGUUUCACAGAAAAAUCAGUUGAUUGGCUGUCUUAACUCACAUGAACCGUUAUCAUUGUCCUAACAGCCAAAUCAAAAUUUCAAGGUGCAGAAAAAGCAACCAAGUGUCUAAUUAGGCGCUAAAUUUGAUUCAUGGACUACACCAUUCAACUGCAAUGCCUAGCUAAGAAGCAGUGAAAGAUCAGUCCAAUUACAAAUCCAUACUACAAGUCCAUGACAGCUCACUAUCAGGGCAAUAUGAUUAUGCACAUAGAAGUUUUAUCAAUUUCAUUUCAUAGCAAAAGAUAUAAAACAACAAUACAUAACCAUAAGAGCCUACCAAUAUAUCAAAGAAAAUCAUAGUCUAACAUAUCAGAACCUUUUAGGAGAAAAAACAGCAGGAAAGAAGAUGUCAGCUGGAACUUAAAUAUUUAAGCUGUAGGUGCACCACUAGUAUCCUUGACAGAUUCACGCCAAGCAUAUUCCCUUGCACCAUCUUUGUCCACAAUUUUGAUUACGAAAUUUGGUGGAGCCACAACCAGCCUUGAUCGAAUCUCUAUAAUGCAUUUGUCCACCAAAUCAAUUGCUUCUUCCACU